CACGUAUGGGGCAAGCGUUGUUCGGAAUUACUGGGCGUAAAGGGUGCGCAGGCGGUUCAGCAAGCUCGGUGUUAAAUACCCCGGCCCAACCGGGGGGCUGCGCUGAGAACUGCUGGGCUUGAGUUCAGGAGGGGAAGCUGGAAUUCCUGGUGUAGGGGUGAAAUCUGUAGAGAUCAGGAAGAACACCGGUGGCGAAGGCGAGCUUCUGGCCAUGGACUGACGCUGAGGCACGAAAGCGUGGGGAGCGAACAGGAUUAGAUACCCCCGUA
rnacentral:rRNA from 1 species